rnacentral:rRNA from 1 species
CGGAGGAUCCAAGCGUUAUCCGGAAUCAUUGGGUUUAAAGGGUCCGUAGGCGGUUUUAUAAGUCAGUGGUGAAAUCUGGUCGCUCAACGAUCAAACGGCCAUUGAUACUGUAAGACUUGAAUUACUUGGAAGUAACUAGAAUAUGUAGUGUAGCGGUGAAAUGCUUAGAGAUUACAUGGAAUACCAGUUGCGAAGGCAGGUUACUACAAGUAUAUUGACGCUGAUGGACGAAAGCGUGGGGAGCGAACAGGAUUAGAUACCCUGGUAGUCCACGCCGUAAACGAUGGAUACUAGCUGUUUGGAGCAAUCUGAGUGGCUAAGCGAAAGUGAUAAGUAUCCCACCUGGGGAGUACGCUCGCAAGAGUG